rnacentral:misc_RNA from 1 species
UCCGUGUUGACCACGGCAGUAUCCCAUGAGUUCCCACCAUUACGUGCUGGCAACAUAGGACGAGGGUUGCGCUCGUUGCCGGACUUAACCGAACAUCUCACGACACGAGCUGACGACAACCAUGCACCACCUGUAACCGAGUGUCCAAAGAGUCCGCUAUCUCUAGCGUGUUCUCGGCUAUGUCAAGCCUUGGUAAGGUUCUUCGCGUUGCAUCGAAUUAAUCCGCAUGCUCCGCCGCUUGUGCGGGCCCCCGUCAAUUCCUUUGAGUUUUAGCCUUGCGGCCGUACUCCCCAGGCGGGGAACUUAAUGCGUUAGCUACGACACAGAACCCGUGGAACAGGCCCUACAUCUAGUUCCCAACGUUUACGGCAUGGACUAC